GAAGUGCGAUAAGCAAUGCGAAUUGCAGAAUUCCGCGAAUCAUCAGAUCUUUGAACGCAAAUGGCGCUGGAGGGAUAUCCUUCCAGCAUGUCUGUUUCAGUGUCUGAGAGGUUUCAUCUAAAUCUUAAUGUGAUUGAGGGGUUGAUUGGAUUACUUUCGUAAACUAACUAACUCUUCUCUCAUGAAAGAUGCGUGAGUGGAUCUUUCGAUCCAAUGAAGUGGUCACAUCACUCGCAUGUGAUUUCAUUGGAAAAGAUCGAAUUAUCCGCAUGCUCACUGUACCAACUUUUGUUUGUACAAAACAAAAACCUUCCAUACCCUGCAUCUGAGAUAGGCAAGAUCACCCGCUGAACUUAA
rnacentral:misc_RNA from 1 species